rnacentral:rRNA from 1 species
CGCAGCCGCGGGAAUACGUAGGGUGCAAGCGUUAAUCGGAAUUACUGGGCGUAAAGCGUGCGCAGGCGGUUUGUUAAGACAGAUGUGAAAUCCCCGGGCUUAACCUGGGAAUUGCGCUUGUGACUGCACAGCUAGAGUAUGGCAGAGGGGGGUGGAAUUCCACGUGUAGCAGUGAAAUGCGUAGAGAUGUGGAGGAACACCGAUGGCGAAGGCAGCCCCCUGGGCCAAUACUGACGCUCAUGCACGAAAGCGUGGGGAGCAAACAGGAUUAGAGACCCCCGUAGUCCCUGUCUCUUAUACA